rnacentral:rRNA from 2 species
GGGCACGACACCGGAGAGGGAGCCUGAGAAACGGCUACCACAUCCAAGGAUGGCAGCAGGCGCGCAAAUUACCCAAUCCCGACACGGGGAGGUAGUGACAAUAAAUAACAAUACGGGGUUCUUUCGGAUCUCGUAAUUGGAAUGAGUACAAUUUAAAUCUCUUAACGAGGAACAAUUGGAGGGCAAGUCUGGUGCCAGCAGCCGCGGUAAUUCCAGCUCCAAUAGCGUAUAUUAAAGUUGUUGCAGUUAAAAAGCUCGUAGUUGAAUUUCGGGAUCAGCAGGUUGGUCGUGCCACUGGUAUGUACUGGCUUUGCUGAUUCCUCCUUCUUGUAGAACCGUAAUGCCAUUAAUUUGGUGUUGCGGGGAAACAGGACUGUUACUUUGAAAAAAUUAGAGUGUUUAAAGCAGGCUAACGCUUGAAUACAUUAGCAUGGAAUAAUGAAAUAGGACGAGCGAUCCUAUUUUGUUGGUUUCUAGGAUUGACGUAAUGAUUAAUAGGGAUAGUUGGGGGCAUUAGUAUUCAAUUGUCAGAGGUGAAAUUCUUGGAUUUAUUGAAGACUAACUACUGCGAAAGCAUUUGCCAAGGAUGUUUUCAUUAAUCAAGAACGAAAGUUAGGGGAUCGAAGACGAUCAGAUACCGUCGUAGUCUUAACCAUAAACUAUGCCGACUAGGGAUCGGAUGAUGUUANUUAUAUAGNGACUCAUUC